rnacentral:rRNA from 1 species
GCAAGUCGAACGAGAACGGAUCAUAGCUUGCUAUGAUUGUCAGCUAAGUGGCGAACGGGUGAGUAAUAUAUAGCUAAUCUGCCCUAGAGAAGAGGAAAACAUUUGGAAACGGAUGCUAAGACUCUAUAUGACUUUAAUACAAAAGUAUGCAAGGGAAACAUUUAUGGCUCUAGGAUGAGGCUGUAGGGUAGCAGUUAGUUGGUGAGGUAAGAGCUGACCAAGACAAUGACACAUAGCUGGUUUGAGAGGAUGAGC